UCCCUGGUGGCUCAGAGGGUAAAGCAUCUGCCUCCAAUGCAGGAGACCUGGGUUCGAUCCCUGGGUGGGGAA
rnacentral:tRNA from 1 species